ACUCUAGAGCCGAAGAAGCCGAGGGAGAAAGGCCCUCUGCCUCUCUGUCAUCCUCAUUCUCGCCGGCGGCCGUGGAGACGACGACCGUCGCCAUCGCCAUCGUGCCGCGUGGUGACGCCGGAACGCGACCGUGCCCACGGGAGCUUCGGAACGCCGCCGCUUCGGCAUCAUCGUCGCCCGACCACCCUAGUCCAUCCCGGAGCAAGCCGCUGCGCCAUCGUCAUCGGCUCGACCCCAGGAGCCUGUACACUGAGAUCACCGAUUUCUUCCCCAACUCCGGCCGCCAACGUCGAUCUUCGAUUCCUGCCGCUCCGCAGCUCGUCGUACCGUUCGAGCCAUCGCCGUUCACCUGAGGAGGAGCGCCGUCGCCGAGCCGUUCCGCAAGUCGACGCUGCUGCCAAGACCUCGACAACCCUAGCUUGACCCACGGUUUAGACUUAGUCUUUGAGUGAUGUGGGUUCUGAUUGCUUCUUCUAGAAUGAGAACUUAAUGGGGUAAACCCCUAGUCGGUGUGCUUGUGAUUGGGUAGUCAAGCUUCCGCUGUUAUCUAAUAUUUAUUUGGCCGAUCGGCCUAUGUAUCUCUAAAUUAGUUGUAAAUUUUAAUUGCUCUCAUCUUAUUGUGUUUGCUAUGUGUAACCAUCCUUAAGAUGAAAGUGUGAAUCUAGUGCAUAUCUUAGGAGCUAGAUUCACAUGAGUAUGAGUUAAAAACAUAUGAGAUGUUGUAGAUCUUUAGCCAUUUUUGUCAAGUCUCCUGAAUGUGUAACACAUCUUGUCGCCGCCUUCGAGUAGUUUGACGGGCACAUCUCAGACUGAAGUUAGCUGGCAGACUAAAGGCCCAGCAAUGUCUCCGAUAUUCCUCU